GUAACAUGUGGGAAUCUGCCUUGUGGUUCAGGACAACAUUGGGAAACCGAUGCUAAUACUGGAUAAGCCCUUACGGGGAAAGUUUUAAUGCCAUAAGAUGAGCCCGCAUUUGAUUAGUUAGUUGGUGAGGUAACGGCUCACCAAGACAAUGAUCAAUAGCUGAUCUGAGAGGAUGAUCAGCCACACUGGGACUGAGACACGGCCCAGACUCCUACGGGAGGCAGCAGUGGGGAAUCUUGCACAAUGGAGGAAACUCUGAUGCAGCGAUGCCGCGUGAGUGAAGAAGGCCUUUGGGUUGUAAAGCUCUUUUGUAGGGGAAGAUAAUGACUGUACCCUAAGAAUAAGGUCCGGCUAACUUCGUGCCAGCAGCCGCGGUAAUACGAAGGGACCUAGCGUAGUUCGGAAUUACUGGGCGUAAAGCGCGCGUAGGCCGUUGAGUUAGUUAAUUGUGAAAUCCCAAAGCUUAACUUUGGAACUGCAAUUAAAACUGCUCGACUAGAGUUUGAUAGAGGAAAGCGGAAUACAUAGUGUAGAGGUGAAAUUCGUAGAUAUUAUGUAGAACACCAGUUGCGAAGGCGGCUUUCUGGAUCAACACUGACGCUGAGGCG
rnacentral:rRNA from 1 species